rnacentral:rRNA from 1 species
CCUACGGGUGGCUGCAGUCGAGAAUCAUUCACAAUGGGGGAAACCCUGAUGGUGCGACGCCGCGUGGGGGAAUGAAGCUCUUCGGAUUGUAAACCCCUGUCAUGUGGGAGCAAAUUAAAAUGAUAGUACCCCACUAGGAAGAGACGGCUAACUCUGUGCCAGCAGCCGCGGUAAUACAGAGGUCUCAAGCGUUGUGCGGCAUCACUGGGCGUAAAGGGUGCGUAGUCAGUUUGGUAAGUCGUGUGUGAAAGGCGCGGGCUCAACCCGCGAACGGCCCAUAAUACUGGGGGACUAGAGUGAAGAUGCGGGAAGCGGAAUGUACGGUGUAGCAGUGAAAUGCUUAGAGAUCG